ACCUUCUCCUUAUUCUCUUUCUCUGCUUCCUUAUUCUCAUCGUUGUUUUCUUUUUCUCUUCAGCUUAUUAUUGCCCUUCGUCUUCUCUUUCUUGCUUUUCUCCACCGCUUCACCACCCUCUACUUGCUGGGCUUGUUCCAUAAUACUUGACGGAGAGGUUUGGGUGGCCAUGACCGGCGAUGAAGAGACUCUGCCCAAGUCUCAGGAAAAUCAAAUUCAAUAAAUAAAUAAAUAAAUAAAAUUUAGAAAGCGGGAUUGGACGUGUCCGGAAACAAUCUUCUUCUUCUCCAGUUUUAUGGACCACUGAAAAGGGGCAUGCGAUUCUAGUCGGAUGAGAUUGAUAAUGGUCUCCUCUGCCAUAACUCAACCGCUCUCGCUCUUCAACUCUCAGCUUCAAUGGCUGCGAUUCGCGAGACCCAAGAAACGGAGAUGGGUUGUGACGAUGAGAGACCGAAGCAACAAUCCGAGGCCAUUGCAGAAGGGAAGGAACCUCAGCAUCGAGGCAAUCCAGACCGUUCAGACCCUGAAGAGAUCCAAGAAGGAUCUUCACCAUUUUGAGCAAGCUUUCGAUUCCAAGUUCAGACGUUUACUGAAGCUCGACAUGAUGUCCGUACUCCGCGAACUUCUCCGCCAGAACGAGUGCGUUUUGGCUCUCAAGGUUUUUGAGGAGAUUCGGAGGGAAAUUUGGUAUAAGCCUCAAGUUUUGUUGUAUUCUGAUAUGAUUCAAGUAUUGGGUAGCAGUGGGUUUGUGAAGGAAGUUGAACUCCUUUACUUUUACUUGAAAAAUGAGACUAAUUUGAAGCCUGAAGUUGAAGGUUUCAAUGCUCUGUUGAGAGCUUUACUGGGUUUGAGCUUCAUUGAGCUGGCAAUGGAGUGCUAUUGUUUGAUGAAACAGGUAGGGUGUGAACCAGAUAGGUCAACUUUUAGAAUACUUGUGAAUGGUUUAGAAGCAAUGGGAGAGACAACUGCUUCAGGUAUUGUCAGAAUGGAUGCUCAAAAGUACUAUGGUGAAUCUCUGGACUUUCUGGAUGACGAAAAGUAAGAGUUUCCACUAAAGCCAGAACUGAAUCGUGGGAUAUACAGUGCAUGAAUGGGAGAGCAAAUGCUGCCUCUGACAUCUCAAAAUGUUCCUUGGGGAAAUUGCACCAACCACCAUAAUCUGCUGAAAGACCAAAGUUUGGGGGGCAGAAAUCUGUAGCAGUGAGGAUAAUUGAUGGGCUACCUUGUAAGCACCAC